rnacentral:rRNA from 1 species
UGGGGAAUAUUGCACAAUGGGCGAAAGCCUGAUGCAGCAACGCCGCGUGAACGAUGAAGGCCUUCGGGUCGUAAAGCUCUAUCAGCAGGGAAGAUAAUGACGGUACCUGAGUAAGAAGCUCCGGCUAAAUACGUGCCAGCAGCCGCGGUAAUACGUAUGGAGCAAGCGUUAUCCGGAUUUACUGGGUGUAAAGGGAGUGUAGGCGGCUUUGCAAGUCAGAUGUGAAAGCCCGGGGCUCAACCCCGGGACUGCAUUUGAAACUGUGAAGCUGGAGUGUCGGAGAGGUAAGUGGAAUUCCUAGUGUAGCGGUGAAAUGCGUAGAUAUUAGGAAGAACACCAGUGGCGAAGGCGGCUUACUGGACGAUUACUGACGCUGAGGCUCGAAAGCGUGGGGAGCAAACAGGAUUAGAUACCCUGGUAGU